rnacentral:rRNA from 1 species
UACGUAGGGCGCAAGCGUUUGUCCGGAAUUAUUGGGCGUAAAGAGCUCGUAGGCGGUUUGUCGCGUCUGCUGUGAAAGUCCGAGGCUCAACCUCGGAUCUGCAGUGGGUACGGGCAGACUAGAGUGUGGUAGGGGAGACUGGAAUUCCUGGUGUAGCGGUGGAAUGCGCAGAUAUCAGGAGGAACACCAAUGGCGAAGGCAGGUCUCUGGGGCCACAACUGACGCUGAGGAGCGGAAAGCAUGGGGGAGCGAACAGG